CACAGGUGGGUAGAAUCCUCUGACCAUGACCCACUGACUUCCACCAAAGACCCCACAAGGACAAGGGUAACGUCCCCUGAGACACUGUGUGAUUUAUCUGGUGAUAUUGUUAUUUUAUGGGAUGGGCCAAAGAGGUGUCAGGAAGCAAGUUUGCUGUAAAUCUCCUCUCUCUGCUCCCUUUCCCUCUGCAUGUCCCCUCCUAGGAUUUAUGGUGGAAAAUGUCCAGAGCUAGGGACUCGGGGCUUGGGUUCAGGCUUGGGGUGGGAAGGCAAGGGACAAUACAUCUUUCUCCUCUGAGAUCUGCUAACCGUGUGUGUACGUGUGUGUGUGAGCACUACCCAUGCUCCAUCGCAAGCCUGCAGUGUAUACACCGCAAAAUCUUUAUUAAGACCUCCAUGGCACUCUAAUGGCUUUGCAGACAGAGCAUAUUGUCUGCACUCGAGGUGUGUUAUGGGAGCCACCCCAGAGGCUGGUGCCCCAUGUGUGCUUUCCUCACUGGUGGCUGUGAAUUUCUGAAUCAAGCCAGGAACCUGGGGGCAGAGCCCUUUGGGAACAGACCUGUGAGCCAUAUGCAACCUUGGAGGAUGGGAAGAAGCAGGGGGCUCCCCAUGGGGCAGGGGGCAGCUGGAAAGGAACUGCUCCUGGGUACUUUUUGAGAUUAGGGAGGCAGGUAGGAAAGCAGCUUAAAGUUUGCCUUUAAUGGGGUGUCUGGGUGGCUCAGUCGGUUAAGUGUCCCACUUUGGCUCAGGUCAUGAUCUCACAGUUGGUGAGUUCGAGUCAGGCUCUGUGCUGCCAGUGUGGAGCCUGGAGCCUGCUUUGGAUUCUGUGUCUCCCUCUCUCUGCCUCUCCCCUACUCGCACUCUGUCUCUCUCUUUCUCAAUAAAUAGGCGUUAAAAAAAAAAGUUUGCCCUUAAGAGACACCAAAGCUCCUGUCCCUGGGGAGAGUAGGCCCCGGACAGGGAAGUCAUCUUGGCCUGCACUGUGGAUGCGGUGCUCCAGCCUGGCGCCCCGGAGAGAUGCAAUAAGCUGCAAAAUCUGACUCCUUACGUGUAGAGAGCCUGGAGCAUGGACAUCUCCUUGCUGUAGGGUCUGUACCAGGAGGUGAGCACGAGAGGACCAGUGGAGACUGAGGCGCCAUCUCCCCCUUCGCAGCUCUCCCCCCAUGGGAAAUUUCUCCAGAGUGUGUGGCACCCAGAGGACAUCACUUGGGCACCCCACAAUUCCCAUGGUCCCACAUCCAGUGUACAGAAGAGCACUCGGUGAAUCCCAGCAAAUGAAUCCAGGAGAAAGGCGGAGAUGUCGCUCUCCGUGUUAAUACCAGGUCACUCUCCCUCUCCAUUUUUUCCCCUGCUCCUCUCCCGGAUGCCCAGACCAGGGCUGCGCUGUGUCUCUGGUUAAAUAUAUGGAAUUAUCUAUUACAAUACUUCAAUAUUUAUUACAUUGAUUUCUCUUUAAAUGCUUUGUAAAUCAUAGCAAAAAAUAAUGGCCUUCCAACAGAGUCAUAUACCGUAAUCAACUGGAAGAAAGUCGGCAUUGUAAUUUAAAAUAAAAAAAAUCCUUAUGUGA